CCUACGGGAGGCAGCAGUGAGGAAUAUUGGUCAAUGGGCGCGAGCCUGAACCAGCCAAGUCGCGUGAAGGAUGACUGCCCUACGGGUUGUAAACUUCUUUUAUAAAGGAAUAAAGUGAGGCCCGUGUGCCUUUUUGUAUGUCCUUUAUGAAUAAGGAUCGGCUAACUCCGUGCCAGCAGCCGCGGUAAUACGGAGGGUCCGAGCGUUAUCCGGAUUUAUUGGGUUUAAGGGGAGCGUAGAUGGGUUGUUAAGUCAGUUGUGAAAGUUUGCGGCUCAACCGUAAAAUUGCAAUUGAUACUGGCAGCCUUGAGUACAGAUGAGGUAGGCGGAAUUCGUGGUGUAGCGGUGAAAUGCUUAGAUAUCACGAAGAACUCCGAUUGCGAAGGCAGCUUACUAAACUGCCACUGACAUUGAUGCUCGAAAGUGUGGGUAUCAAACAGGAUUAGAUACCCUAGUAGUC
rnacentral:rRNA from 1 species